UAAGGAAUAUUGGACAAUGGUCGUAAGACUGAUCCAGCCAUGCCGCGUGCAGGAAGACGGCCCUAUGGGUUGUAAACUGCUUUUGUACCAGAGAAAACCUAUCUACGUGUAGAUAGCUGAUAGUAUGGUAAGAAUAAGCAUCGGCUAACUUCGUGCCAGCAGCCGCGGUAAGACGAAGGAUGCAAGCGUUAUCCGGAUUCAUUGGGUUUAAAGGGUGCGUAGGCGGGCUUGUAAGUCAGUGGUGAAAUCUCUCAGCUUAACUGAGAAACUGCCAUUGAUACUGCAGGCCUAGAGUAUAGAUGACGUUGGCGGAAUAUGACAUGUAGUGGUGAAAUACUUAGAUAUGUCAUAGAACACCGAUUGCGAAGGCAGCUAACGAAACUAUAACUGACGCUGAGGCACGAAAGUGCGGGGAUCAAACA
rnacentral:rRNA from 1 species